CCCGGAUAUACGGGUAAAAAAAAAGCCAGGGACGCAGGGAGUGAAGUGGAGCCAAGGGCCGGACCUGCAGAUCUCUGUCCUGCACAUGUGAUGGGCUCCUGUCCUCAGGUCCAUUCGGAGCAGUGGCAGCUGUCCACCAGCCAGAUCCCUGUUCAGCAAAUGCAUCUGUUUGACGUCCACAAUUACCCGGACUAUGUUUCCUCAGGCGGUGGAUUCGGGCCUGCUGAUGACCAUGGUUAUGGUGUUUCUUAUAUCUUCAUGGGGGAUGGAAUGAUCACCUUCCACAUCUCCAGCAAAAAAUCAAGCACAAAAACGCCUCCAGGAUCCCAUCUCCCAGCUUCCCCUGGCUCUGACCUGUUCUCCUUCCAGGAUUCCCACAGGCUGGGGCAGCACAUUGAGGACGCACUGCUGGAUGUGGCCUCCCUGUUCCAGGCGGGACAGCAUUUUAAGCGCCGGUUCAGAGGGUCAGGGAAGGAGAACUCCAGGCACAGGUGUGGAUUUCUCUCCCGCCAGACUGGGGCCUCCAAGGCCUCAAUGACAUCCACCGACUUCUGACUCCUUCCACCAGGCAGCUGGCCUCUCCGAGGAAUAAGGGUGAAAUUGCCACAGCUGGCUGACACAGGACAGGGGCAACUGGUUUGGCAACCCCAUAUCCAGGCCAAUAAAGAUAUGUGAGCUGGG
rnacentral:sRNA from 1 species